CUCAGGAGGUGUUCAAGAAAUGCGGAGAUGCAGCACUGAGGAAUGUGGUCAUUUUGUCUACAGUGCUUGACUACAAAGGUUUUGGGGACAAUUCAUGCUUUUAACGUAGAAGUGGUAUGAGUUUUCUAUCAGCAAGCUUUGUACCCUGAAGGUCUCCUGAGUGUACUGAUGCCAUCCCCUCCAGGAAAGGUAGCACAAUGCCUAACUUAGCUGUUGGGCUGCAACACAACCUUCACUUUUGUCAUGGACUGCUAAUUGAAAACCCACUCAAGAUAAAGGAACUGAAUCUUUGCGUUGCAAGAGUUUGGGUCUGGUUUAUGGAAUGCUAUGGGAGUCCCAUGCCAGGGACAAUUCCAGCGACUGGAUGGUACAAACAAUUUAACUAUGGAGAUAAGGUACACUGUUGCACAAUGUUUAAUUCACCAGCACUGGAAUAAACGGGGGAUAGCCAAGACCCAGCCCAUGGAUGCAGAGCAAAGUGGCAUCUGGAUAAUGGAGUUUAAAAAAUACCAAGGCACAACAUUCUGUUUGGCUCUGCCUAUCAGCAGGAAUAUAUUUUCUUCAGGAAAACAGACACCAAUCUGCUGUGUCUUUCACUGGCACUGGGGGCUAGCACACAUUACCUUCAGUCCUUGGGCUACCUACAGUCUGUCCGUCUUCCAUUUAUUCUUUUGUAUGUGUGAACUACCUCCAAUCAUUUCUGAUCUAAGUAUGAAUUACUGACAUAAGUUAACUAGGAGAGUAACAUACAGCAAAUAAUAAACAGACGAUGAGCUUUUGGGUACAAAUUUUAUGAAACAUAAAUAUUCAUGCUGGUGUUUAUGCACACAGGAGCUGAGAGCAUUUCCUCUGCUAUCUAGAAGAUGUAUAAAAACUUUGUAUGUUUCUGAUUGCAUUUUCUUGUUGCUUUUACUUUUCUCUUUGAGAUCAGCUCUGUGUUCUCUAUGCCGAACAUCAAACCUCAGUACAUUUUGAUAGCUAAAGUAUUUGUUUCAGCUAAUGAAAAUCUCUCAUGUGGGCUGCUAUUUCCUGUUAAAAGUGGAGUGCCUUUUAUAACUAGAAGAUGGUAUUAGAUUUUUAAUUAUAUGUUGCUGUGUAACACUACUUAAAUAGAACUUGAGAAAUAAUUCUUGUGUAGCAAAUAAGUGAAAUUUAAAGCACGGGUUCCAUUUAAUUAGACAUUUUCUGCUUUAACAGUUGAAUUCCCUACCCAAAUUUCAUUUCCAUAAUCAAGACAUGUUAACAUACUGUUAUUUCAUCAAAACAGUCACUGCAACCUUCUCUUUCCAUAAUUCUAUUUACAUUAAGAUUAAUUGAGAAUAUUUGCAUAAUGCCAAAAGACUGAAGUUUCACACAAGAUGGUAGAAUAUGUUCUCUCCUACCUACCCCCAGUUUUAGUAGUCUAAUCACUAAAGGCAAUGAGUAAGAUUCAACACUGGAAACAGAACUCUUAUUGUGAGCUUUAUGAACGGUGAUGGAAAAUAUAGACAGUGUAGUAAAUGCAGUGAAAAAUAUGUAUUUUUAUUUGUGUUUUAAAAGCCUCAUUUCUCUUUUUGUGAUUCAGAUGCAUCAUGUGAAAAACAUUUGUGUAAAAGCUCUCAUCAAGUGCACCAGUUGAAAAGAGGAGGAAGGAGCAUGGAAAUAAAUGCUUUUUCAAAAUUAAGGGUCGUCUAUAUUCAGUCAAUUCAAGAUCAUGUUCUCAGUUCUCUUCGUUCCUUGAGGAGGCACUGGGCUGUUUCAGAAACAUCUUUCAGUGCUUUGUGCAGUGCUGGUGUGUUGGGUUCGCAGUGCCAAAGGAUCCAUUCUUUGAGUUGCAGAAAGAAUCAUGGGGUUUUUUAUGUACCUAGCAAUAGGACAAGAGGAAAGUGCUUUAAGUUGGAUAUUAGGAGGAAUUCUUUCUCACAAGGAGUGGU
rnacentral:lncRNA from 1 species